rnacentral:tRNA from 1 species
AGGGAUGUGGUUCAGUGGUAGCAUGCUUGUCUAGCAUACAUGAGGCCUUGGGUUUAAUCCCAGCACCACAA